UGGCUGUUUAGGAAAUGAGAAGA
rnacentral:miRNA from 1 species